UCCCCACCCAGACACGGGAAGCGCCCACCCUGGGGUGCUGCAGGCCGGGGCGCCGCGGGUGCCGGUGAGAGGAGCAGGGCCGGUCCUGGGGACCCGCUUCGGGGGUGGGAAGGGGCUGCGAGGCGGGGUCCUGCUCCCUCCCAGCGGAAGGCGGCCUGGGACCCAGUCAGACCGCGGUGCAUCCCAAACCUCCCAGCGACCCUUGGUUGGAGAAACGGGCAGAGACCCUGCAGGGGGUGGCCCGGGCCCUGCGUGUCCUCUGGGGCCUUUGCCGCGGCCCCUCCGGCGCCCCGCACCCCACUGGAAGUGCUCUGUGUGGGUGGGAGGCUCAGCCCUGCGCGGUGGCCCCAGGAAGUGCUGAAAUGAACGAGGUCCCCUGGUCCCCGUCCCCGGGGCCUCCGAGACUAAAGGGACCCGCAGCACCAGCAGGGUGCCCCAGGCUGGGGGGGGUCCCAAACGCGGCUCCCAGAUCCCUCCUUCCCAGCUGGAGUGGAGAAGAGCCCUCUCAGCCUGGUUCCUGCCGCUGAGCAAAGGGCGGACACUUUUCUUGGAUUUUAGUUUUGAAAACAGUGUUCAAAGCGUCUCUUUGAACUGUAGAUUUCUGCAGAGCAACGGUUUUGGGAGCAAAACCUUGAUACCAAGUUUUACUCAAAACAGAAAGUGCCAGGUAGGGAACAGAAAAGGAAGGCCUGCCGGUGCGUGGCUUUUCCCAGAGCUUGGCAAAGGCCUUGUUACCUUAAAUUUCUAGCCUCAAAAAUAAAAUGCUGGUGCCACACUCCCCGACACAGAGCCGGCCUCACUGCUGAGUGUGAGAGUCAGGCUUGAAACAUCUGCCUUCCCUUGAACGUGCUGGUGGGCAUCGCUGUGCAAAGCAUGACACCUGACCCCGUAGGAAACCCCUUCUUACUCAUUUGCAGUGUCACUGAAAGAAACUUAUCUCCUGUGCCUGUUAACUGUCAGGUAUCACUAAAGUUAAAGCAAUAAAGCUCACUUAAGAUAAAAUGGAAAAGUGAGAAACAGCGAAAAUGUCAGUGCAGACGUCACAAACUCAGCAUGAGUUUCCUCGAGGCAUGACACGG
rnacentral:lncRNA from 1 species